rnacentral:rRNA from 1 species
AGUGAACGCUGGCGGUAGGCCUAACACAUGCAAGUCGAACGGCAGCACAGUAAGAGCUUGCUCUUACGGGUGGCGAGUGGCGGACGGGUGAGGAAUACAUCGGAAUCUACUUUUUCGUGGGGGAUAACGUAGGGAAACUUACGCUAAUACCGCAUACGACCUACGGGUGAAAGCAGGGGAUCUUCGGACCUUGCGCGAUUGAAUGAGCCGAUGUCGGAUUAGCUAGUUGGCGGGGUAAAGGCCCACCAAGGCGACGAUCCGUAGCUGGUCUGAGAGGAUGAUCAGCCACACUGGAACUGAGACACGGUCCAGACUCCUACGGGAGGCAGCAGUGGGGAAUAUUGGGCAAAGGGCGCAAGCCUGAUCCAGCCAUACCGCGUGGGUGAAGAAGGCCUUCGGGUUGUAAAGCCCUUUUGUUGGGAAAGAAAAGCAGCAGGUUAAUACGCCGCUGUUCUGACGGUACCCAAAGAAUAAGCACCGGCUAACUUCGUG